GCCGGUGACGAUAGCGCAGAGGACCCACCCGUUCCCAUCCCGAACACGGAAGUUAAGCUCUGCCACGCCGAUGGUACUGCCGGGGUGACCCGGUGGGAGAGUAGGUAAUCGCCGGCC
rnacentral:rRNA from 1 species